rnacentral:rRNA from 1 species
UCGAGCGAGACCAGUCCUUCGGGACUGGGGAAAGCGGCGAACGGGUGAGUAACACGUGGGUAAUCUGCCCUCGGCACUGGGAUAGCCCGGGGAAACCCGGAUUAAUACCGGAUAGCCUUUCGAGUCUUCGGACUCGUCAGAAAAGGUGGCUUCGGCUACUGGCUGAGGAGGAGCCCGCGGCGGAUUAGCUUGUUGGUGAGGUAACGGCCCACCAAGGCGACGAUCCGUAGCUGGUCUGAGAGGACGAUCAGCCACACUGGGACUGAGACACGGCCCAGACUCCUACGGGAGGCAGCAGUGGGGAAUCUUGCGCAAUGGGCGAAAGCCUGACGCAGCGACGCCGCGUGCGGGAAGAAGGCCUUCGGGUUGUAAACCGCUUUCAGGAGGGACGAAGCCACUCGGGUUAAUACCCCAGAGGGUGACGGUACCUCCAGAAGAAGCCCCGGCUAACUACGUGCCAGCAGCCGCGGUAAUACGUAGGGGGCAAGCGUUG